UGGCAGCUGCCUACGUGAUGCGAGCAACCUGGGCGAUCCAGCGCUUUGCCAAUCACAGCCUCGUGCAGCAAGUGCACAGCUGAACAAUGGGGAAAUUCCAUUUCCCACACAGCGAGGAGGACGGAGUGGUACCCAGCAAGCAGCCCUGCACCUCUCCUCCAAACAGCACAGCCUGUCUGAACCCAGCUCCCAUUCCACCGACACUCCUUCUGGAGCCCAGCUCCAUCCCAGCCUCCUCUGGAGCCACCGGAACGGAGUGGAGCUCUCAGGGCACCCAGGGGGCAGCUGCUAUGUGGAAACAGUGCAACUCAGUGCGUGGAGAAGGUGUGAGCUGCGGGUGGGUGAGUACACAGCUGACGCUCAGGACACCACAAAGCGCUCAGCCUUCCUCGGCGCAUCCCUUCAGUUUAAAGCCAUCCUCCCUCGCCCUAUCACUAUCAGACCAUGUGAAGUUCACCCCUCCUGUUGCAGAGGAGGAGGAUGGCUACAAGCACAGGUGCUGACGGUGGGAAGGGCAGCCCGGAGCCGCCUCGAGCACGAGUGAAGGCAUUGCACAACUGACAGCAGCUCCGGACUCUGGCAGAGCCACAUCUCCAGCUCCGCCAUCUGCUUGCAUCCAAGGCUCCAUUUCAGCCUAUUAGGGAGAUUGGGGCUGGCUGCAAACAUCAGAUGUAGGCAUAGGUUUGGCACGCGUCCAUCCCUCUCCUGCUGUCUCAAAACGCCAAGAUUUUGAUUCAAGCUCAUCUGCAAACACUAAGAAAGCGACAGUUUUGCAACACCAACCCUGGCGGAGCUCAUUGCAAAAAGAGACCUUCGGGGAGAAAAAGACAAAAUACCGAAAAACCAACAAGCCAAGAACUCCUUUUCAUUACAUUAUCUCAACAAACUAAAGCUAUAGACAAAUACGACGACACCCACCAAAAUCUGCUCAGGCAUCCAAACACAGGCGGCUGAGCAAGGCAAGGCGCUCCGGAUCCCAAACCUGCAGCCAUGCCCACGGGUGGGAGAAAAGCACCUCCCAUCCGUGCCAUAGAGCUGCCCGGUCACACAUUGCUUAUUUACACGGAGAGCUCUCUGGCACACCGCAUGAAGGAAAUGUGCAAUGAGGGCUUGGAGCCCUUUGCCAUCCCACAACAAUGGGAUGGCUGCGCCAGCACUGCGAGCACACAGCCUCAGCCCCGAUGAAUUUCGGUGGGGAGGGCUUUGUGUUUUGUUUUGCUCUUCGAAAGAUAGCCCUGUAAUUUAGUGACUCAUGCGUUCUACAUCUUUUGUUGCUUUUCGUUUUCAACAUCUUUAAGCUGUUUGCGGAGAAGGAGCUUAUUUUUAGACUUCCCAUCAGCGAGGGAUGGUUUGGGGGGGAAAAGCUCCAUUGAGAUUUUUGUAUCUGGGGUGCUAACAGGCAAAUUUCCUGAUGGGAAGAUAGUUUUUUAUUUUUUUUUCUUUCCUCUUCUUUCCUUUAUUUCACACUCGGGAAUGGGCAGUGAUUUCGGGGCACACUGAGGUCUGAGCUGGUUCAGGGAGGAGGAAGAGGUCACGAGUGAAAGCAGAUGUGUGGGGCUCAAACAGUUAAUGUGGGCUCUGGGAACUCUCAUCCUCCCCCUCCCUCUUCAUCAAACCCAAACAUCUCCUGCCAUGCCCUCUGUAAACUGAAGGGGAGAACAUCCCACAGCCCAGCACUACCCCGCAUUGCUCAGCACUGGGAACACAACCCAUGGACUCUUUGCUUUGCGCUAUGGAGAUAUUUGGGUCUCACCACCCUGGAGCAGGCAGUGGGGUGGAUGAGCCCCCAUCCCUGCGGUGCCCACAGGUGUCACCUCCCCACCCAGGAACCGCAGCGGCUCUUUGGAGCAUUUUCCAGGGCACAUUGGUAAUAUCGCUGAAAGCCGCAGCCCUAAUGGAUGGCUGGAAGCGUUCCAGCCACUCCGGCUGUCACCUCGCCCCAUGUCACACCCAGGUUCUGUUCCACAGUCUCUAAGCAGCAUAAGGCAGCACAGCAGGUCUAUGUCCCGGCUACAGACCUAUGUCACCGCCCAGCUUAUCAAUUUGGGGACACAAAACCCAAACCGGCACAGCCAAGUACCCAUGCUGAGCUCUCUGCUCUGCCCACCUCCAGCUCCAGCUUCAUGUCAGGGCUCAGCAUCCUCUGGAGGAGCUGCCACCACCUCCCCAUUGCACAUUUCCAUACGACACACCGUGCAUGCAAGAUCAGCCUUCACCACGUCAUGAAGCCUUGCAAAACAGAACAAUGUCGCUUUGCUCCAACUCCAACGACCCAAAGUCCCUUGGUUGGGAAGAGCAUCUCCAAGAGGAGCCGUCUCAUGGACUGUGCUCACUCACAGCAGGAGCAGGGCACAAGGAUAAAUGCAUGCAAGCUGCAGAGUGGACAGUGUCAAUAGGAUUUAUUUGUUCUAUUAUUUAUCAUGCCAUAUGCCCCAGCUCUCCAUCCACAGAUCUGAGCCAUCAGCUGUGAACACCUGUCAGGGAGUUAAGUCAUCUUCCAGUUUCUGGGUAGAAUAACUGGAGAUGAUAAGGCUGAUUGAAUCAGCAAGUACUCAACACUGGAAGCGCAAUGGCUUGAAAAAAAAUUCUGAUUUUGUCAAUUAAAAGCUUUCAGCAUUGAAUCAGAACAAAAAAAGAAGAAAUACAAACCACCCCCCGAAACCAGCCCUCCUUAGUGGCUGUACUGCGGUACAGGAGGAAGGCAGGUAUAGGUGAACAGAUGGGGGAAAGUAGAUAACAGGACACCGAGUCCUCCUGCUUGUCCACUGGAGACAGAAUUUCCAUCUAGAAACCCAAUACAAAAUGUAAUUCUUUCCUAACAACUGCGUCUACUGCGUAUUGUUUCUCUGAGAAAAAAAAAAAUUAUAAGUGACUUUGAAGUCCUCCAAUGCCAUCAAGAACAUUUUUUCCCAAAGUAUCUCAAAAGCAGCAAAAAUAAGAAAAAAAAUUAAUGACUGCUAACAGCCGAAACAGAUGGUCUGCUGCGAAUCCCCACAGCCUCCCGCAGCCGUGAGUCAAGCCAUUUUUCAACGUGGUGAAGAAGGAAAUAACAAUAAUACAGAAAAAUCCAAUUUCCAAGAUGACCACGCUUCCAAAAACCCACUGGUCUUCCCAGCCGAGAGGCGGCCAAUGCAGAGGUUUGGCCGGAUCGGACCUUCCAUGGGCUCAACCCAGAGUCAAGUGCACACCGAGGGUUUGGACACGGUUGCUUCCGCCACAAGAUGCAGGAUGAGAUUUUACUCCAAGAUUUCAGCUCAGGACCCUUUACGCUGUCAGAUCACACGCACCCAGCGCUCAACCCCGGGAGCUGCAUCCCUCCCGCCCCAUCCUCCCAGCCACCAUCUCAAGGAUCCGAGACAAGAAAGCCACUUGCCAGGAGGGAAGCUCCGGUUGCCGGCUCCUCUGCUGCGGCUCCUCCUCGUCCCCCUGGUCGCUGUCAUGCUGGGGCUGCCCCUCUCCGCGCUCUUCGAUCAGCCCCAUCAGGCAGACGUGGCCGCAGGUCCUGCGGAGCGCACGAGCUCAUCAUGGGCGCAGCGCAGCCGGCAGCGCGACUCUGUAAGGAGUUGACAGAAACUUACUGCACGCACUGUACCAGUUUAUCAUUUAUUUAAGCUGGAUCUUUCAAUAAUUCAUGCCAGCCUUUCGCUGUGGAGUGGGACAACAAUGGCAGGAGCGCAGCGAUGCAGGCAGGGAAUAACCACAUCUGGAACAGAUGUUCAGUUCUAAAUAAAAGCUGGUUUUGCAGAGAAUGUUCAAUGCCAUGGGAAUAGCAGGCUCUGGGACACAGCCCUGCUCCUUCCAGGGGGCAGCAGCGAUUUUCUCAGAUGUCUUGCAACGUGCAGUGAGAAUGGAGCAGAUGCAAAACCCAGGGCUGGUUCUAGCUGCACCAAAACCUGCACCGUGCCGCUCAGCUUCUCCUGCCCGUUGCACGCACUGUGAUCUGCAGCACGGCCAUGUGAAAGGCUUCUGCAAAGUAUGCUCCCUACCGCUGUGGCCAUAACUUGGCUCCCUCCCUUCUGCACCCGGGGGUGCACCACCAGAACCCCCCAAACCCGCAGCUUGGCUGGGCACCAGCUCCCCAUUGGACAUCACCCCACACCUUCAACAACCCUGCACGAGGCUAGGGACACCUCUGAACAAAGUGCUUUAUUCCUUCUGCUGUGUUGGCCCUAUUGCUCUGGGGGGUGCCCCAAACUGCUCCACGUGCCCCUCGUCAUCCUUCCCCAGAUCACAUCCCUGACAGCCCCGCGCCCACCACUGCACUGAGCAUCCCCUCUCUAUGCCAGCCCCUGCCACCGGCCCCACUUGCCUCAUCACACAGCUUUUAAGUGCUUUGAAGCAAGAACUGACUUGCCAUUUCGUCUCGCACACUCGAGGCAUGACCUGAGAUCAGACCUCAACUGUGUGUUAUUACUGUACCACUACAGCACUGUUAUUACCAACUCGGAUGUUUGCUUGGGCUCUGGUUUCAGUCCUUACAUUUUUUGGACUACCUCAUGUAUCUCUAUACUUUGCAACACCCCUGUGAUAGCUGGGCUCUUCUCUGUGCAGGCUUACAGUUAGUUUUCAACGCAUCUUGCUGUGAUUCUUAAACACAAACCUUGCCCCAUUGGCUGACCACUUAAGACCAGAAAGAAAGUUUUUGUCCUAGAUAAUGGCUGAUCUUGCAGAUUGGUCGGAUAACGAAAUAAGGAACACACUAAAGGCCAUUAUCAGUAACGAGCAGUGAAUAACAGAGUGCAAAGCUAUCAAGUGCUCCGAAGGACAAGCUACAGGGAUCGCUGGGGAAAUAGUGAAACCAUUCAGAACUAGGUCUCCUGCUCUCUGCAUCUUCCUUCUUCCUUCCUUAAAGCGCACUUGCAGUUGUCAUGACAGUGGGUGGAUGACAGGGAACGCUACGGUGGAUCUCAGAAAUAAAUGUCUGAGCAGCGUCACCUCUCACAGAGAGCAGCCCUUGGGUUGUAGGCAGGAGCGCAGCCACCGCUCUGGCUGAUUUAGUGGCCUCGCUGUGUAUCUACACCUACAUAAAUGUGGUCCCCUUGGGGCCAAUGUCUUCAAUCCACAUUUAUAAAUUUCCCUCCCAAGGGACCGCUCAGCGCUGUUACACAGAGCUGGUGACAGCUUCACUCUGUCCUAAUGGAAGGCACCAGGAGGCACAAAGCAGGGAUCCUAGGGAAGGAGCCACCAGCCCCCUGCUCGUGCAUGCAUAAAGGAUAUCACACACACACAAAAACAGAAAAAAGGAAACAGUGAUUUCACCCUUUCUUGCUCAUUUUCAGUUAGAAAUGAGUAAAUAAUGCCAGUCAUAAAAUGCGGCAAGGAACAGAAAAAUGUUAUCCAAAAAAAGGAAACUGUUUUAAGCUGCUUUAACUUUUAAAACUGAUGGUGAUUCUCAACAUUAAUCAAAUACUGAAAAAUCCACAGGAAAAAUAAAAGGAAACUGUACUGAUGAGGUGGAUCAUGUGUACAAACACAGAGGUGGGCACAACCCUCCAGGAUGUGGAAGUUUUCCUGAGCAUUUCACAGCCAUUUCCAGUAAAGCUGGGCUGCAUCAGCAAGGGCCAACGGUGAGGCUGGAACACCAGUGCCACAUUGGGUCCUCCAGAAUUAAGGAAAUGCCAUUUCACUAGAGCAAGCCCCCUGGUAAAUCAGUAGGAUGGAACUGGAGCAUGUCAAGGGUCAGUGUAAAUAACUAGGAGCAACAGGAACAAACGGCAACAUGAAAUUUCCAACCAAAAGGACAUAGGAAAAUAGUUUGCUCAGCACGUGGUGCAGCCUUGGGAUGGGAGUUGGACAGGCAAUGGAAUCUCCAUCCUUCAGGAUAAAGUCCUCUGCAACUUUGGGCAGGUGCUGGACUAGAGAUGCUAAGGGCCCCUCCUAGGGGAAAGCUUUCAUAAAAUUUUACGACUUUUUAACCAUCACAAAGAGGGGCAAAAGAAAGAAAAAUAGAAGAGACAAAAACCUUUUUAAUCCCUUGCAUAGAACACAUCCUCUUUCUUUGCCUUAAGCUCAUCUCCCAGUGCCCAGGAGAGGGCACAGCAUGGAAAUGUCUCCACUUUGUUGAAGUCACAUCACUGAAGUGGUUAAGCAGGAAAGCGCCUGCAGCCCAGCCCUGCUGGCUGGCCAAGCACUGCGGUGCUCCUGGCUCCAACUUCACUCUCCUCUUUUGCUUUUCACUCUCUCGUGCCAAGCGUAAGGAUCUGGCCUGCUCCGCAGCCCACCUUGCCAACAUGAUUGUGGUGACUCACUCAACAGCUCUUCAUCACAGCACAGUCUUUCAAUGGGACUUCAUUUUGGAUGGCACCAUCUUCAAAAUCUGAUGGCGGAGAAAGGCAAGGAAGGCAUUAAUACGUAUGCAUGGUGAAGAGACAGAGGGACAGCAGGGUUGGGUCACAACUGUGGGGUGAUCCUCGCUUCAAUUUUUUUUUUUCCCCCACCUCCAUUGGUAGAUAUCCAAAUUCAGAAAUAAGAAAGGAAGCCCAGCUCAAAGGAAAAAGAAAGGUCCUCAUAUCACUCCUUCCAUCAGGCUGACACCUCUUCAUCUUGGGAAAUUUAACAUCUGUUACAUAAUUCAGAGAACAUGUGGUUAUUUUCCAGGCUUAUUAAUAGCUCAGAUCCCAAGACUGAAAAUGAGAAUCAGCAGCUGCUCCAGACUUCACCUCUUGGCAAAGGAGGUGAGAGCAGGUACAAGGGCUGGCUGUGGGUCAGGGCUUUCCUUCACUCUGAGGCUCCUCAUUACAAGCCAUGAAGGACAGAGUUUGGAUGGCAGCUCUGCUGCUGAGACAUCUGGAUCUCCAGACUUUCCUCGCUACUUUUUCUUCACAUCUCAUUUUUCUCUCCACUAAAGGCACAUUCCAUGAGAGAAGGCAGAGAAGAAGUUCACAGGUAUGAGAACGGACUGUAAGAGUGAAUAGGGAAGGAAGAUGCUGUUUCACUGUCCCUCACAUACAUAAAGCAUGUUUAUUCAUCAGGAGUUCAGUAGCGUUCAAGAAGACCACCAGGGUUUACAAAGACUUGGAUGUAAGGACUUUUUUCUUAAUGCAUUAUGUUGCCUUUUAACUUGGAAAGCAGGUUGAAGAAAUGCACUUGACACUGGGAGCAAUUAGAAGGUCGGUCGUAGCUUGAGUUCUCUGUUUCUGGUGAAGUUGAAGGUAUGCUAGCAUGUGUAUCUCUCUCUGCUCAGAAAAAUAAAAUGGUUUAAAUGCUCCCUAGUGCUAUUUCCAGGCAGGAUUCAGGCAGAGCAAUAUCCUUGGCAAAGGCAAGGCCGUGGCUGUAACAAACGUAUGCGUCUGUUGUUGAAAUGCACAACCUGCAGCUCACAUGCCUCAUCACACAGUGAGAAAAAGCACCCCCAGACCUUGACAUCUCCAGCCCAUUAAAGUGUCAAUGACAGCUCAGGGUGAUGCAAAUGACCUUCUCGUUAAGUGGCAGAACCUAAAGUCCAGCUCGCCACAGUCCCAAAUUCGUGGGACUUCAAGCCAACAAAGAAAAAGCAAACCUGAUGAAAGAUCGUGACUAAUGAAAAGCCACUUCAUUUUCUGGCACUUGGUAGAGGCCAAGAACAUUUGACGAGAACAGCCAAGUCCAGCAGACACCAACGCUUGCCAUGGGAGGAGGUUGAGGCUGUGGAUGCCCCCACCCUGGAAGCACUCAAGGCCAGGCUGGACGGGGCUGUGAGCAACCUGGUCUGGUGGGAGGUGUCCCUGCCUACAGCAAUGGAGUCAGAACUAGAUGAUCUUAAAGGUCCCUUCCAACCCAAACCAUUCUAUGAUUCUUUGUUCCUAUGAGGUGGCUGUGCUGUUCAGCUCCAAGCCCUGCAAUUUCAGAUAUUCCCUUGAGAGAAGGUGACCCAUACCUAAGAGCUCCACUGGCUUGGUUCAGAGCAACAAAGUUCAUGGCCUAACAUCAGGCCAUCAGAAAGCAGGGGCUCAUCUUUUCCUAGCUCAAAUGAUAAGAAGUGCUUAAAUACUCAGUAGGACAGGGAGUAAAGCUCACAGAUCUCGUCCCACCAGAAGAAAAAUAAACAAAACACACAAGAGAUGGCUAUUUCUUCAUGUCUAAUUAAUAUUCAGAUGUUUAUACCGUGCAAAGCAGCAGCAGAACUGAAGGGAAACCCACCCAAAGACAUGACACAAGAUUGGAGGCAACUCCACUAGGAAGCAGAAAUCCUCGGCGCAAGAGCUUCUUUCAGAUGGUGUAGAGAUGCCUCCAGGCAGCACUGCCCACCUUCUGACUCACCACUGGAUCAGCAGAACUGGCAUGUAUCCCUCACCCUAGGGAAUGCAUGUCACAGCCUUUAUGCGGUCGGGAGCCACAAGGCAUCUAACAUCCCCUGGGAGAUGUGGGGUCACAGACUAGGCUCAUUCUGCAGCCUGCAGCUGGGUUUGCAGCUGAUUCAGCCAUCUCCAGCAGAACUUGCUGGCUUCUUCAUGCCCAUCCCAGAGCUGUGCAUUACUGAGCUCCUCAGUUCACACCCUAGAGAAAUUCCCAUGCAGACUUUAAUGACCUAGUGCAAAAAUAAUAAUAAUAAUAAUUCAAGUGAACCAUUUCUCCUAGUCUGAAUUCGCUGAAUUCAAGAACAGCAUCAGAGGAUCCAAAACUACAUUUUCAGACCAAAACAAAAGGUACCAUUUUGGUAAAGAGCUACCAGCUUUAUCUUAACCUGUAACUCUUCCCUCUCCAGCCAGCUGGAAGCUCACUCACUCUUACUUUCAUGGGCAGCACGUUGUAUUUCUCCCCUUCCACCAGGCCAUGUUGAUCUCAACACAUGGAUCUAAAACAGACCCUCCUUUUUCCUUUCUCUGCACCUGGGCUGGUCCUGAAUGCUUUCCUGGGAGAACACUGCACAAGGGAAACUCCCUGUGGAGUUUCAGGGCUGGAAGAAAUCACUGUCUGCAUGGGAAGAGCAACAGCCACAGGACAAUUACACUGCAGCAGAAGUCUGCAGGGAGGGGAGAGGCUGCUCUUGCUAUGGUCUGCCUGACAUCAGCCUGACAUCACCAUCUGGCAGUAGUUUCCAGAGCAAUGCAUCUUGAAAUACACUGGGUGCAAAAUGUUGCCCAGGGAAAUCAGCCUAGCAAAGCUUUUCAAAAAUAUUCUCUACAAUCCAGAGAUGGUGGGUUUUCUCACAUAGGACCUUCCAUCCCAACCGUUCCUUUCUGCCUGUAGUGAUUGGAAAGAUCAACACAAUGAAAAAGGUGUUACAAAGAGGUGGAAGGACCAGCAUGAUGGCAAGGUGCUAUAAAGGAAGGGAAGUAGAUCACCCACCUGCAUCAGAAGACUCUGGGUUCACAGGGAAAAGCUUCCACCAAGGAGGGAUCUCCAGAAAGAGAUCCUUCCUCAGUGGCAGUCAGCCCUUCAAUGAGGCCCAAGAGGAGCCAGGCUCCAGCCCUUCUGGUCACACAGUGAAUUGCCUUCACCUGUGCUCCCAGGGCUGGCUGGGUCUUUCCACCAGGUGCUCCAUCAGUGGUUCAGGCCAUGACUCAGCAGCUCCCAUACACUGCCUUUGUACGCUGAGCUGCAGGGCAGCAGUUGUAGAGUCAGUUGGAUGCAUCUCAGCUUAUGAGUGUAAAUAUGGAGCUGCAGGGUAGUAGGGAAGGAUAUAAUGAAAACUUCAAAGCUCUUGAAAAUUUAGGAAACAUCUAAUUAUAACUGUUAGCCAACAAUGAAUUUGUGAAAUAUUCACAGCCUUUAGAAAAAGCAACUGGCGAUGUCAGAAAAAUUGUAAGUCGAGGAUUUGGAGUAAAUGACCUCCUGUUCUUAUUGUGCAUUUGCCAUGUACUGAAAGAAAAACAGGAAAGAGCCUUGCCAAGGUGUGGGGAGCAAAAAAGGGAAGGAAAAAAAAACCAACAAAAAUGAAAAGGAUUUUGUUGGCAGAAUUAAGACUUACAAAUUAUUGCUGCUCCCUUUCUCCCGACUUCUGUAAUGUAAUUGCUGUGUGCUAAGACUAAUUCACCAGAGAUGCUUCUGCUGUGAAGAUGGAAGCAGCAGCUCAUCGCUCUGCACAGAGCAGGUGGCUCCUCGGCGAUCCAGCCAGGACUGCAGGCAGCAGCAUGGGAGCCAAAAAGAAACAGGGUUUAGGUCAAGAUAUGGCAGGGCUAGAUCUAAGCAGAGCUUCAUUAGAUAUUUAUUGGGAUGGCUAGGCUGGAAGGCCAGAGAUAUAAAUAUAGAACAGCAAAUAGUUAUUCUGAACUCAGAGCUUCGGUCACUAUCAACCAAUUGCACAAAUCAAGACCUUGGCAUAUAGGAGAUGUUCAGGCUUAAUUGGAUAGCACUCAGUAGUUAUUCUAGCACACAAAUACACUCAUCAAUCUAGGUAAUGAUGCUGCUCCAACCACGUUUUCAUAUAUUACUCCUGAUAUCCAUAACUUCCAGCUAUGGCCACAAAACCACACUCAACCCUAAGCCACACCACUACUAUUUAUAUAGGAAUCAGCUUAGCAGGAGAUGCUUGGUGAUGAAAUGUCUGGUCAAGAAUGGGUCUGUCGUGGAGUGGUAGAGAUGGGUCUGCUCCGUGAUGAGGAAAAAAAGAAUCUCAGAACUGUAGGGACUGGAAGGGACCUCUGGAGAUCCCCCGUCCAAGCCCCCCACAGCAGCUCCCUGCAGCAGGUGGCACAGGAAAGCAUCCAGGAGAAUCUUAAAUACCUCCAGAGAAGGAGAACCCCACACCUCUCUGGGCAGCCUGUUCCAGGGCAAUGGCAGCGUCACAGCAAAGAAGCUCUUCCUCAUGUUCAUACGGAACUUCCUGUGUUCCAAUUUGUGCCCGUUGCCCCUUCUUCUGUUUGCUGGGUGCUACUGAAGAGGGGCUGGCCCCAUCCUCUUGACAUCCACUCCUUAGACAUAUAUAAGUGUUGAUAAGCAGAAGAACCAGAAGCUAAGGGUGACCUUAACACCAGCAGUGCCCUCAUCAGCUAGUGAAUGUGAUGAGCAGUGUUGAGUGAUAAUGACAGGAUCAAGGAACAGAAGUAGAAAACAAGAGAAAUUAGGUCCAAGGUCCACCCAAGGAGCUUCAUCAGGAACAGAUAGGCCUGGAAACAGCUGCAGCAUGGGUCUAGAGAAGAAAACUGCCUGUAACACAGGUCUAAGAGUCUUCCAGUAGGCAGAAACCAGCUGGAUAGAGGCAGACCUGCAGCACACCUCACCCAGGGCCCAAAGACAUGGCACUGAGCUUAAAUGGGCUGCAGGGCCUUGCUAUGGGUGGGAUCCAGGUGAGCUGUCCUCUGGGCUCUGGUAAUGAUAAAGCUUCAGCCCCACAUUCCAAAGCACAGUGGAACUGUGGUUUGCAUGUUGAAUAUGAAAAAUCUUUUUCUGCUAUCUUGACUAAUGCUCCUCUGGAGGUUGUUCUGUGCCAUAAUGAAGAGUAAACUGGUGAAUGCUACAGUACAGCACCACUGGCGUUCCUGUGGACAUCAGCUGUAAAGCAGAGAGGAUGGCUCUGUUCUUCCAGAGCCGUACACAAAACUUUAUCCUGGCUCAGGAAAGUGAACAUAAGGAUUUAUAGAAACAUCAAUAUGUUUGAUUAAUCUCAACACGUGUUCAUGUGCCAUUGAUUUAAGCUACUUUAUUUGAGGUCGUAGGUUUUUCUGAAUCAGGACUUUAAUAGCAACUCUAGCUAAGUUCUGCAAAACAAGUUUUUCAAUGUUUAUGCUGUUUUGCAACAGUACUUUAAGAUUUUACUUAUUAAAAUGUGCUUAAUUUCCCCAACUUGUUUGUUAGUACAUUCUCCAAAAAGCAUGGGAUACCUUGUAGUCAAAUGUUCUCGUAAGCAUUCUAGCUUCUUAGUAAGCUAAACGUGUUCUGUUUUUCCAUAUUCUGAAGUUAUAUGUCAUUCUGUAUCACUGUGAAAAUUUUUUUCAUUUGAUUAUACGUAUUAUUAACAGCACUUAUAUGUUCUCCCUCCCUAUUCCCUGUUCUACUUAUUUACUUUGAAAUAGAAACCAGUCAUCUCUCACAUUUCACUGUAAUUUUUACCUUUUUUUUGUUUCCUGCAAGUCGUUAACAAAACAUAUUUAUGUCUGACCCUGACAGCCAUAUUCAUUUUCCUUCAAACAUUUCAGUUACACCUUAAUUUAGGCACACUCAAAUAGUUCUGCCACCUCUAAUGUGACCAUUGCCACAGCAGUGUAACAGUGUUUUCAAAAUGAAAGGUUUUUUUUAAUUGUCUGUAGAGAUGUUGAUAUGACUUCAUUCAAUAUGGGAGGUUCAAAUUAUUUAGUGGUAGAGGUGUGGCAUAGAAACAAAGGAAAAUAGUAGGGGUUGCCUUGGAUCAAAGCGUUACACGCAAUGUGUGCAAGCGGCUGAGCUCCAGUUCUACCUCAUGGCCCCUUCUUCUGGGAGUAUAACAGGCACAAUAACAAUUCCUUUUAUUGCUGAUUGAUCAGUAACAUCCACAGUGGGCAGGAAUGUAGAGCACAGUGUAGAGCUGUUGCAUUCGAUAUUUUUGCAAGUGUCAGAAUUCAAAGAAUGGGGACACCCACUUGGUCCCUCGGAUUCUGUUGGAAAGAAGCUGGCUGGUGGGGCUCUGGAAAGCCAGGAUGUGUUGUGAAGGCUCCUUCUAGUGUACCUCAGUUGAGGCCCAACAUUUGAGCAUCACAAAUAGCUGACUACAAUCACUGAGAAGCAGAAAAGCAGCUUUUAGUUUGGUUCUGAUAUACCAAGGUCUACCUCAAGAUGACCUUAAAAACGAUGAAGUACAUAAAAAAUGAAGAAGCUGCUUGAGAAGAAAUUAAAAGGAGCAGUUGGAAGGGAACCAUUUCAGAACUCCUUAUUACAAGCCUGGAAUAAACAUACACUGCCAAGCAAAGGAGAGCUGAAAGGAAAAAUGUUUGUGCAGCUACACAGCAGAGCAGAAUUGUUAAAAGGCAUUACUCUAAAAGCCCAAGUCAUGUUCAAGAGAGGAAAUAGAAUCCUGAACGUGACAAAUUGCAUGGAGAAGAACGAUAUGGCAGGCCAGAAAGGGUUUUGAUCAGCAGCUUGAGACUUAAAGGUAACAAUAAAACCUCUUCAGGAACAUUAGGGGAAGGAGGUUUGCCAGAGUGGUGGUGUGGCUGAUAGACGAUCACCACAUAACAUGUAUGCUCAGGAGAAAGAUGGGUCAUAGCAGAAAGGUUAAGUGAAUUGUUUGCAUUGCUUUUCAUUAUGAGGGAGGUGGGAAAAGAAGGCAAGAAACAGAGAUAAAUAAUCUGUUUUCAUAAUGGUAGAAGCAUCCAAUGGCAAUCCCAGAGAGACCUGUCUGAUAGAUCUACUCAUUUACUAAUAAAUGAUCUGGGGAGUGGGAGAGCGUGAGCACAAUAAAAUAUAUUAGCGAUACAAAAUUAAUUGGGAUAAUCAAAACCAGAACUGGUUGUAGCAGUUACAAAAAAAUCUCACAGAACUCAGUGUCUGAGAAAUAAAAUAACAGCUGAAUUUCAGUGCCAAACAGUGCAAAAUAAUGCACAUGGAAAAAAAUAACACGUAGUCUCCCUACAAAAUGGUAAACUAUCAACUAGUCAUUACCAUUCAAGAAGGAGUUAUGGGAAGUAAUAUGGAUGGUUCCUUGAAAACAUCAACUCAAAGCUCAGCAUAACCAUGGGUAAAUAUAAUGUGAGUGAUUGCUGGGAAAGAAAUAGAGGACAAAAUUGAAACUUCGCUGUUAUCUGAAUCAUUGUGCACCUACAUGAUGAAUACAUUUCUGCUCAGAGCAUCCUAGAAAGGAAAUAGCAGAGCAAGAAAGGGUGAGAGGAAGGAAGUGAAGCUGAACAAAGACAGAGAACAACUUCUAUACAAAAAUAGACUAACACAGUAGGACCCUUCAAUCUGGCAAAGAGGUGGUUGAAAGGGAUGUAGGAGACUCUUACCAAAUCAGAAUUUUAUUAUGUCCUCAACAACAUGGGGAAGGUCAACAGAGAACGAAUACACUCUCUUUUUCACAGCAGCAGACCUAGGAGGUAUCCAAUGAAACUAUCAAGAGCAGAUUUUAGAGAAUUCUAAGGAAGUAUUUUUGCAAGGAGUGUACAAUUAAGAUGUCAAAUUUUUGCCGGAAGCCUUGAUGGUGCUCAAAGGCAGAAAUAGGUUCAAGGAGGAAUUAAAUAAUUCACUGAAAAUGAGACAGGCAUAGCCCCCAGCUCAGGAAGUGUCUGUGAGUGAUCAACAGAAGCUGGAAAGUUGUAAGAGAAGGCAUAUGCUGCACUUGCUCUCUUCCAGGAUAAUAGGUGAAAUGGGAAUUUGUUCUCACCGUAUUAUACUAUGUUGAAGCAUGGAACUCCCACCCCACUGCCCAGGGACUAUGUCUGGGUUUUUUUCUGCUGACAUUGAGGGAAUUGUUUCCUCCUGUAGCUGAUGGACACUGAGAGCUAAAGUUGUUCUCCAUCAGACUGCAGAAAUGUUACGUGGAUCACAUUUUUGACAUGAAGUGCUCAACUAAUAGUCAAGAAAAAGCCUAGUGAGUCAUCGAAUGUGACCCUAUGCUUUGCUCAGAGCAGGUUCUUUUCAUAAUUCACACUAUUAAGCUCAGCUAAUCUGUCAUUUAAUAUCCUCUGUGGUGGAUCUAACUUAAGCACAUUAUCACAGAAAAAAAUAUAUAUCUUAUUCUCAGGGACUUCCAAGGACUUGUCUUCAACAAACUACACUGCAAGGAUGGGUGUUCUGCCUUGUCACAUACUUUGGUAGCAUUGUUCUCACCAGUCCAUAUUCCCAGUAUCACCAGGUGCCCCUGGCAGGCACAAAUAGCAGGGGAUUUGGGGGACUAGGAGAACAUCUGCUCCCAGGCACUACGAUGCCUCCUUGUUCAUGGAUAUACGCUGACACCACGGUGCUCUGCUUGGGACUUUCUCAUCAGGACACAUAUGGUUACCAAGGCUCAUCCAGAGCAGUGGUUUCUGGCAAGUUGCAUCUGGCCCUGCCUCACCUCCAAGUGGUUUGGGAGGUGCACCUCAGGCCCAGCACGGCAUCUGAUGGGUUUUUAACAUCAGACAUGGGGCAAGAGCAGGGUGAGUGCUGCGGGGGGUUAGCAGGGCCUUUCAAGGCUGCCUGAUGCCUCCGGCUGCUCCCAGCCUGGCCAGAGCCAUAAUUGUUUCCUCAAGCAUCAAAAGAGACCUGAGCUGCAUUCCCUGUCAUCUUUUGUGCCAUAGAUGAUAUAAGCUUGUAUCACUUCAUCAUGAAACCCCUGUCUGAAGUCACACAGUUCAACUAGGUCGUAAAGAGCAGUGACAGUAUUUUCCACAGAUCUGUCUUAUUCUUGUACCCCAGAGAAAGCUGCGUCUCUCAUAAACAACAUUUCAUGAGCAAAUAAAAUAUUUAUCAAACUUC